rnacentral:rRNA from 1 species
GUAGGUGGCAAGCGUUGUCCGGAAUUAUUGGGCGUAAAGCGCGCGCAGGUGGUUCUUUAAGUCUGAUGUGAAAGCCCCCGGCUCAACCGGGGAGGGUCAUUGGAAACUGGGGAACUUGAGUGCAGGAGAGGAAAGUGGAAUUCCACGUGUAGCGGUGAAAUGCGUAGAUAUGUGGAAGAACACCAGUGGCGAAGGCGGCUUUCUGGCCUGUAACUGACACUGAGGCGCGAAAGCGUGGGGAGCAAACAGGGAUUAGAUACCCUGGUAGUCCACGCCGUAAACGAUGAGUGCUAAGUGUUGGGGGGGUUUCCCGCCCCUCAGUGCUGCAGCUAACGCAUUAAGCACUCCGCCGUGGGGAGUACGGUCGCAAGACUG